UGUCAAAUAUAUCUGGUUUCCAAAAUUGUUGCAAACUUUCAACUAUUUUGAUGAGUUGUUUGGAAUUUAUUAACAUAAAAAAUCCUUUUACAGAUGUCUACAACAGAAAUAAUUUAUAAUUUGAACAUAAUAUAUUUAAUUAUCAAAUCUGCAACCAUAAAGGAUAUCACCAGAAACAAAGAUGUGAUGGUUAUAUAAGAUAAUAUUGAAUUUUUCUGGCGAUAUCCGCCAAUAACUCGAAUGUUGAACAAUGCCCAUUUCAAGGCUUUUAUUUGGUUUGUGUCGGCUUCACCAGCCAUAACCAACUACUUCUUAGUUCGGUGUUUGACGAAUCAUCAUAAGCUUAAACAUUAAGUUUUUUGCCGUUGUAAGUUAAAUUACAAUGACCUACCAACC